rnacentral:rRNA from 1 species
CCUACGGGUGGCAGCAGUGGGGAAUAUUGGACAAUGGGGGGAACCCUGAUCCAGCCAUGCCGCGUGUGUGAAGAAGGCCCUCGGGUUGUAAAGCACUUUCAGUGAGGAAGAACGCCUGGUGGUUAAUACCCAUCAGGAAAGACAUCACUCACAGAAGAAGCACCGGCUAACUCCGUGCCAGCAGCCGCGGUAAUACGGAGGGUGCGAGCGUUAAUCGGAAUUACUGGGCGUAAAGCGCGCGUAGGUGGCUUGAUAAGCCGGUUGUGAAAGCCCCGGGCUCAACCUGGGAACGGCAUCCGGAACUGUCAAGCUAGAGUGCAGGAGAGGAAGGUAGAAUUCCCGGUGUAGCGGUGAAAUGCGUAGAGAUCGGGAGGAAUACCAGUGGUGAAGGCGGCCUUCUGGACUGACACUGACACUGAGGUGCGAAAGCGUGGGUAGCAAACAGGAUUAGAUACCCGAGUAGUC